UGGGGAAUUUUGGACAAUGGGCGAAAGCCUGAUCCAGCAAUGCCGCGUGUGUGAAGAAGGCCUUCGGGUUGUAAAGCACUUUUGGCAGGGAAGAAAUCGUGCGUGUUAAUACCAUGCGCGGAUGACGGUACCUGCAGAAUAAGCACCGGCUAACUACGUGCCAGCAGCCGCGGUAAUACGUAGGGUGCAAGCGUUAAUCGGAAUUACUGGGCGUAAAGCGUGCGCAGGCGGCUUUGUAAGACGGAUGUGAAAGCCCCGGGCUCAACCUGGGAAGUGCAUUCGUGACUGCAAGGCUAGAGUGUGUCAGAGGGAGGUGGAAUUCCGCGUGUAGCAGUGAAAUGCGUAGAGAUGCGGAGGAACACCGAUGGCGAAGGCAGCCUCCUGGGAUAACACUGACGCUCAGGCACGAAAGCGUGGGGAGCAAACAGG
rnacentral:rRNA from 1 species